CCUACGGGGGGCAGCAGUGGGGAAUAUUGGUCAAUGGGGGCAACCCUGAUCCAGCCAUGCCGCGUGUGUGAAGAAGGCCCUCGGGUUGUAAAGCACUUUCAGUGAGGAAGAACGCCUGGUGGUUAAUACCCAUCAGGAAAGACAUCACUCACAGAAGAAGCACCGGCUAACUCCGUGCCAGCAGCCGCGGUAAUACGGAGGGUGCGAGCGUUAAUCGGAAUUACUGGGCGUAAAGCGCGCGUAGGUGGCUCGAUAAGCCGGUUGUGAAAGCCCCGGGCUCAACCUGGGAACGGCAUCCGGAACUGUCAAGCUAGAGUGCAGGAGAGGAAGGUAGAAUUCCCGGUGUAGCGGUGAAAUGCGUAGAGAUCGGGAGGAAUACCAGUGGCGAAGGCGGCCUUCUGGACUGACACUGACACUGAGGUGCGAAAGCGUGGGUAGCAAACAGGAUUAGAUACCCUAGUAGUC
rnacentral:rRNA from 1 species